UACGUAGGGGGCAAGCGUUGUCCGGAUUUAUUGGGCGUAAAGAGCUCGUAGGUGGUUUGGUAAGUCGGAUGUGAAAUCUCCAGGCUCAACCUGGAGGGGUCAUUCGAUACUGCCAUGACUAGAGGUCGGUAGGGGAGUGUGGAAUUCCUGGUGGAGCGGUGAAAUGCGCAGAUAUCAGGAGGAACACCCGUAGCGAAGGCGGCACUCUGGGCCGAUACUGACACUGAGGAGCGAAGGCGUGGGGAGCGAACAGG
rnacentral:rRNA from 1 species